UCGAAGGCCCUUGUAGGAAUGUUUUCUUUCAUACCCAGUGGCAUUAGAAAGAUGUUUGAUGCCAUCCUAGAACGUUCAAUCUACAGUAGGAGAAAAAAGUUUAAGAGUAUUAAGUCUGAGAUGUCUUUAUGAACUUUACAGUGGAAUGAUAAUCCAUAAUUAGGACAAAGGUUUUUUCUUGGUGGAGAAGAUCUGAGUCAGUGUAAUUGUGCAAGUGAUCACAGGGAUAACAUUCAAAAAAAAGCUCAGUAUCUGGUCCCAAAUGCUACUCACCCACCUGAGGCAAGUAGGAGCCAGGAAGGACCUCUACCCACUUCCCUCAAAGGCAUUCUGCAAGAUCAACUGAGGAAACUCAGCUCUGGAAGGCUCUAACAAGAUGAGGAAAUUGAGGACCAGAGAGGACCAAGGUCACAGAGGUGGCAAACAGCAGGGAUUUGGGCUUUUGAACAGCUGGCCGGGAAUUAAUAAAAACACCAUUGAAGUCAGUGGCUUUGCUGCAUUUGAAACAGAAAUCAAAGGGCCAAAGCAGAUGGAGAUGCCCUAAUUCACUGGUAUUUUGACUUUCUAAAGAAAUUGGAUGUGAGCAGAGAAAAAUUUCAGGAUAAGAAAAAACAGGGUUACUGAUCACCUGAGAGUAGGAGCUCAUAAUGACAGAGGACUUGAAGCAGAAUUGAAGGAAGAAGAGAAGUUAAUGUAAUCAUCAGAGGAAAGGAGAAAACAAGUUCUGUGUAAGCUAAGCUAAUCAGGAGAGGGGGCAAUAUAACCUCCUCCCCAGAGCCCUGUAUAUUACAUUCCUUUCCUUAUCCAUCUUGGCUUUCUCUGCUGUCCGGGAUCAAGACUGUGACACUACCUAAUGAGGCUGGGGAGCAGUGAAAUCAGGACAUUUUAAAAAGAGAGAGGCUUCUCCGGAUCAGAUAACCCCAGCAAUCCAGACAGUAAUGAGCCUGUCCAAAUUACCAGUGGCAAAUAAUAGAAGUGCUAAUUUGAAAGCACGCAUGCCCCUCUGGAAGGAAGAAGCCUGGCCACCAGCCUACUGCUCCAGAAGACUUGGAUGCUGCUUUGAUAUGUACAACAUAUAUACUAUUGUGGGUGAGGCCUGAGAGGUGGGAGUGGAAAAGAGAAGGAUUUUCGAAUUUAGGGCAGGAAUAUAACACAGCAUCACUAGGAAAAAAAAUCUCAAAAGCAAUCAUCAAAUAGGAAAUCUCUAUCCUGCUAACAUAUCUGUAAAAUAUAACUCAGGACAAAAAUGUAAAAUGCCAAAAUGGGGUCUGGGUCCUGGGAAUCUGCCCUCCAUUUAUCUACCACUGUCUUUAGUUGCUUCAAAUAUCUACCACAGGGGAAAAGGAAAUUUCUUCUUUUGGAGGUUAUUUUAUUUUAUUUAUUUGCUUAUUUAUUAUAAGGGACCUGCCUAGUCAUCCACACCACUGGGGCAUGCCAGCAACAAUGAAUUUUAGGCCACAUGUGCAGUCACAAACUCUUAGUAUUUUGAAAGGCCUUUCUAAAAAAGGAAGGUGAAGGUGUUGUGCUGGUAGGAAAGCCUGCUACUUUGGAAAAAAGGCUGAGACAGUGAUGGGGCUGGGGUUCCACCAUAAAGAAAGUCAUUUUCUAGGAAGGACCUCUUUAUAGACAAGGCUUUUGGAGAAGUACCUUGUAUUCUUAAAAAAAAAAAAAAAAAAGAUUACUCAUACUUUAUCUUAAUUGAAUCUCAAAAAACAAACGAAAAAACAACCAAAAAGCCUGGAUGAAAUGUAGAUCAAGUAAUAUUCUCAUUUCACAUAUGGGAAGACUAAGGCUUAGAAAUCUGUUCAGGGUAACUGAGCCUUCUUCUAAGAUCAAUGCUCUUUCUACUCUACCUGACCAGUUUUAAACGAUGGCCUUGAAGCAGGUAAAUGGACAAUUCUUUGUAAUCUCUUUAGGACAGAGUUACAGAACUAAAGAUCACAAAGAAGAAAAAAGCUAAUUAAUAAUUCAAGAUUUUAAACAGCUAGUCCAGUGGUCUACCUCCUUAACCAUGAAAAUAACUAGCCAUAUAAUAUAUGUUUCUUUUCCUCUAAGAAUGCCUGGAUGACAAGAUUGUAAAUGGGAAGGGAGUAACUCAAGACUGAACCUUCUCAUUUCAUAGCUGGGGAAAGUGAGACCCAAAGAAAAUUAAUAACCUUUUUAAAGUCACAAGUAUUGUCUAAUUCUUGUCUCCUUUAAAAGAAUAGCUGUAAUUAUUUUGAAGAGAAAAUCAGAGGAAAUAAACUGCAAGCAAGUACUGUCAUACUUAAUUCUGGAUUAA